GCGUACGGCCCCGCCGCGCUGCCGGAGAGGGAGGUGGCGCUGUUCCUCUCGUGCGCCGAGGAGGGCGGCGGCGUGCGCGUGCUGCUCGGGCUGCCGGCGCGGGCCAUGGCCGAGUUCGAGCGGCUCGUGGAGGAGGUGAUCGCCUCCUGAUCAAUCCACCGUGGUCAAACCCUUAUCAAAGCGAGCGUUAUCGUUGACUUAUUUAUACGUCAUGGCUCUUAAUUAAUUACUAAUAAUUUAUUGAGCAUCAAGAAAGUCAGUGGAAGUGUCAAGCCACUUUGCUGCAGCUGAUGAUGCCUCUACAUUCUGCAACAAGUUUGAAGAUGUCAUUUUGAAUGAGAAUUGUUGUGUGAGGAGUAACCAAAUGAGCACUUGCCAUUGUUUUCUCACGAAUUUUGAAGUCAUGAAAUAGCACUAAUUAUAGUGACCAGUCAACCCUAGACUUAUGUUGUUAAAAGAAUGAUGUGCAAACAAGGGAUUAGAUAACUCAUAUAUGAAGCUAUUUAAUGCCACUUUCCGAAUAAUUCAUGAAUUAACUCUAAAUUAGUUUCAAAACACAAUUUUUAUUGUAGUUGAUAACUAGCAAGAAAACGAUUAAAUACGCACACACAUCUACUCCCUCCGUUUCACAAUGUAAGAUAUUUCAGCCUUUAUUAGAUUCAUAUGAUGCUAAUAAAUCUAGACAUUACAAUAUAAAACAGAGGCAGUACGAGAGAUUAGCUAUCAUGC
rnacentral:lncRNA from 1 species